rnacentral:rRNA from 1 species
GAUAAACGCUGGCGGCGUGCCUAAUACAUGCAAGUCGAGCGAACGGACGAGAAGCUUGCUUCUCUGAUGUUAGCGGCGGACGGGUGAGUAACACGUGGAUAACCUACCUAUAAGACUGGGAUAACUUCGGGAAACCGGAGCUAAUACCGGAUAAUAUUUUGAACCGCAUGGUUCAAAAGUGAAAGACGGUCUUGCUGUCACUUAUAGAUGGAUCCGCGCUGCAUUAGCUAGUUGGUAAGGUAACGGCUUACCAAGGCAACGAUGCAUAGCCGACCUGAGAGGGUGAUCGGCCACACUGGAACUGAGACACGGUCCAGACUCCUACGGGAGGCAGCAGUAGGGAAUCUUCCGCAAUGGGCGAAAGCCUGACGGAGCAACGCCGCGUGAGUGAUGAAGGUCUUCGGAUCGUAAAACUCUGUUAUUAGGGAAGAACAUAUGUGUAAGUAACUGUGCACAUCUUGACGGUACCUAAUCGGAAAGCCACGGCUAACUACGUGCCAGCAGCCGCGGUAAUACGUAGGUGGCAAGCGUUAUCCGGAAUUAUUGGGCGUAAAGCGCGCGUAGGCGGUUUUUUAAGUCUGAUGUGAAAGCCCACGGCUCAACCGUGGAGGGUCAUUGGAAACUGGAAAACUUGAGUGCAGAAGAGGAAAGUGGAAUUCCAUGUGUAGCGGUGAAAUGCGCAGAGAUAUGGAGGAACACCAGUGGCGAAGGCGACUUUCUGGUCUGUAACUGACGCUGAUGUGCGAAAGCGUGGGGAUCAAACAGGAUUAGAUACCCUGGUAGUCCACGCCGUAAACGAUGAGUGCUAAGUGUUAGGGGGUUUCCGCCCCUUAGUGCUGCAGCUAACGCAUUAAGCACUCCGCCUGGGGAGUACGACCGCAAGGUUGAAACUCAAAGGAAUUGACGGGGACCCGCACAAGCGGUGGAGCAUGUGGUUUAAUUCGAAGCAACGCGAAGAACCUUACCAAAUCUUGACAUCCUUUGACAACUCUAGAGAUAGAGCCUUCCCCUUCGGGGGACAAAGUGACAGGUGGUGCAUGGUUGUCGUCAGCUCGUGUCGUGAGAUGUUGGGUUAAGUCCCGCAACGAGCGCAACCCUUAAGCUUAGUUGCCAUCAUUAAGUUGGGCACUCUAAGUUGACUGCCGGUGACAAACCGGAGGAAGGUGGGGAUGACGUCAAAUCAUCAUGCCCCUUAUGAUUUGGGCUACACACGUGCUACAAUGGACAAUACAAAGGGCAGCGAAACCGCGAGGUCAAGCAAAUCCCAUAAAGUUGUUCUCAGUUCGGAUUGUAGUCUGCAACUCGACUACAUGAAGCUGGAAUCGCUAGUAAUCGUAGAUCAGCAUGCUACGGUGAAUACGUUCCCGGGUCU